AACUUGAGAUAUUACUGUAUGUAUGGUCAGCACAUUGAGAUAUUACAGUAUGUACAGUAAAUGUGCAGUCAGCUUUUGUUCUUAGAACCAAUUAGAAACGGCCACACAAAAAAUGCAUCCUUGGCCUGUGACGGAGCUUGUCCGUUCUCUUUAGUGGGAUUGAUUGAUGCCAAUGAUUAUUAUUCCAAUCCACCAAUCAGAGCAAAUUCCAAACAGAAUCCUUGACACCACUAAUGAAAAGGCUUAACCUAAACAGACGAUCAAGAACGACGAAGCUACAUUGUCUUAAUUACAUAUUAAUUUCAUAUGAUAUGUUGGAUUUUCAUAACCCGCAAAUGUUAUGUUGUUGUUUAUUCCAUAAUCUCUUUCAAAGUUUUAUUGUGUAUUACCAGCGUUAUAUUUUGUCAAAAAGAAUUCUUUAAAAUUUCUCUAUUACAUCGCAAGAAAUAGUUUCAGAAUUAAAUGAAUCAAAGCAUGAAAUUUUACGCAACACCCGAUCUAUCUCCAAUAAAUUUUCAUUUUUUAAAACACCUACAUAGCUCUCUUUUCACAGAACAAACACUUCGUUUGCAAAGAUAGUAUUAAAAUCAUUCAUGCAAAAGUCCAGAACUUCUGUAAAAGUGGCAUUUAUACAUUAAAAACUGGUUGGGAAAAGAAAUGUGCAUUAAAGCAAGUAGGUCAUAUUUCGAUCAAAUAAACAUUUUUCGAAAAGAGCUAUGUAUGAAAUUUAUACUAUUCAUUUGCAACAUUCAUUGAGCACUGUUCAGCCGCGAAUCUUCAGUCAAUCAAAGCAAAGCAGUUCGUCUGCCACAUCCUGGAUGAGAAGCCUCGCUGCCCCCGGAAACGGCUCUAAGGACGAGAAUAAAUUGUAUUAAUGGGACCUACUUCUGUACGUUUUUCUACUCGCUAAGCUGGCGUGCACAUCCUCACCAUUUUACUGAGCAUCUAAUCCACAGUGGAUCCAGUCUCAGUGGUCAAUCGACAGCCAAUCAGAGCAAAGAGUUACUGUAUAUUGCUUCUUAUAUUCGCAUAGUUUGUAAAUGUAUAAAAUUCGUAGUUCGGCUGUCGUAAAACGAACGAUGAAAUUUCCUUAGAUUUAUUCAAGUGCGCAUUAAUUGCAUGUUGUUGCAUAUGUACACGGCUGAUCAAUAUUUUAUGUUCCAAUAAAAUAUUGUCGCAUGAAAGUAAAAUGCUCGCGUCAUCUAAACUCUAAAAUAGUUUAAACAAGUUAAAUAAACUGAGUGACUAAAAUAUCUUUUUCUUUAACGGA